rnacentral:rRNA from 1 species
GAUGAACGCUAGCGACAGGCUUAACACAUGCAAGUCGAGGGGCAGCACAGGGUAGCAAGUACUUGGGUGGCGACCGGCGCACGGGUGAGUAACGCGUAUGCAACUUACCUAUCAGAGGGGAUACGCCCGGCGAAAGUCGGAUUAAUACCCCAUGAAACAGGGGUCCCGCAUGGGAAUAUUUGUUAAAGAUUCAUCGCUGAUAGAUAGGCAUGCGUUCCAUUAGGCAGUUGGCGGGGUAACGGCCCACCAAACCGACGAUGGAUAGGGGUUCUGAGAGGAAGGUCCCCCACAUUGGUACUGAGACACGGACCAAACUCCUACGGGAGGCAGCAGUGAGGAAUAUUGGUCAAUGGCCGAGAGGCUGAACCAGCCAAGUCGCGUGAAGGAAGAAGGAUCUAUGGUUUGUAAACUUCUUUUAUAAGGGAAUAAAGUGGGAGUCGUGACUCUUUUUGCAUGUACCUUAUGAAUAAGGACCGGCUAAUUCCGUG